GAUGAACGCUGGCGGCGUGCCUAAUACAUGCAAGUCGAGCGAACAGACGAGGAGCUUGCUCCUCUGACGUUAGCGGCGGACGGGUGAGUAACACGUGGAUAACCUACCUAUAAGACUGGGAUAACUUCGGGAAACCGGAGCUAAUACCGGAUAAUAUAUUGAACCGCAUGGUUCAAUAGUGAAAGACGGUUUUGCUGUCACUUAUAGAUGGAUCCGCGCCGCAUUAGCUAGUUGGUAAGGUAACGGCUUACCAAGGCAACGAUGCGUAGCCGACCUGAGAGGGUGAUCGGCCACACGGGAACUGAGAAACGGUCCAGACUCCUACGGGAGGCAGCAGUAGGGAAUCUUCCGCAAUGGGCGAAAGCCUGACGGAGCAACGCCGCGUGAGUGAUGAAGGUCUUCGGAUCGUAAAACUCUGUUAUUAGGGAAGAACAAAUGUGUAAGUAACUAUGCACGUCUUGACGGUACCUAAUCAGAAAGCCACGGCUAACUACGUG
rnacentral:rRNA from 1 species